rnacentral:rRNA from 1 species
GACGAACGCUGGCGGCGUGCCUAAUACAUGCAAGUCGAACGAAGCUUUUUUAACUGGUGCUUGCACCGACUUAAACAACUGAGUGGCGAACGGGUAAGUAACACGUGGGUAACCUGCCCCAAAGCGGGGGAUAACAUUUGGAAACAGAUGCUCAUACCGCAUAACCACAGAAACCACAUGGUUUCUGUGUCAAAGAUGGUUUCGGCUAUCACUUUGGGAUGGACCCGCGGCGUAUUAGCUAGUUGGUAAGGUAAUGGCUUACCAAGGCAAUGAUACGUAGCCGAACUGAGAGGUUGAUCGGCCACAUUGGGACUAAGACUCGGCCCAAGCUGCUACGGGAGGCAGCAGUAGGGAAUCUUCCACAAUGGACGAAAGUCUGAUGGAGCAAAGCCGCGUGAGUGAAGAAGUUUUUCGGAUCGUAAAACUCUGUUGUCAGAGAAGAACGUGUGCGAGAGUAACUGUUCGUGCAGUGACGGUAUCUGGCCAGAAAGCCACGGCUAACUACGUGCCAGCCGCCGCGGUAA